CCUACGGGGGGCAGCAGUGAGGAAUAUUGGUCAAUGGCCGGAAGGCUGAACCAGCCAAGCCGCGUGAAGGACGAAGGUGCUAAGCAUUGUAAACUUCUUUUGUCAAGGGACAAAAUCAGGCUCGAGAGCCUGACCGAGGGUACUUGAAGAAAAAGCAUCGGCUAACUCCGUGCCAGCAGCCGCGGUCAUACGGAGGAUCCGAGCGUUAUCCGGAUGUAGUGGGUUUAAAUGGAGCGUAGGUGGUUUGUUAAGUCAGUUGUGAAAGUGUGCGGCUCAACCGUAAAAUUGCAGUUGAAACUGGCAGUCUUGAGUACAGUAGAGGUGAGCGGAAUUCGUGGUGUAGCGGUGAAAUGCUUAGAUAUCUCGAAGAACUCCGAUUGCGAAGGCAGCUCACUGGACUGCAACUGACACUGAGGCUCGAAAGUGUGGGUAUCAAACAGGAUUAGAUAUCCCAGUAGUC
rnacentral:rRNA from 1 species